AAGAAAUGUAAAUUUAAAAGAAAAAUGACUCUUAAGAAACUGAUAAAAUCACUAAGUGUUAUAAUUUCUUUGAGAAAUGAUGAAUCAUGAUCUAAAAUAUUUUACGUUUAAAUCUGUUUGCACAACGAAAUUUCUUUCUUUUAACUGAAUUCGAAAUUUGUUAAUCACUAGAAGCAAGAAUUAGAGCAUUAAAAUGAAGAUAUCAAUUACUGGAUGUAUUUUUAUCUUGGCAAUUUUCUGCAGUGCCCAGCUAUUAACGGAUGCACAAGACACCAGUACAGUACUUACAGUAUGUGAAUCGGUGAGCAAAACCUUCCAUAAAGUGCUCGAUUUCUUUGGUGAUGUAAGAACAUUGUUUUCAGAUGGGCUAAAAAUUAGAAAAGAUCUUCUAGAGUAAAUUCUUGUAAACAAACUUUACCUUGUAAAGGAAAGCAGAUAAUCUGCAUAUGGCAACCACAAUUUUACGAAAAAAAAUUGAAAAAUUUGAUUGUAUAAUCUAACAUUUGAAUUGCAUGGAAUAUAAAUUCGUUAUUAAACAGCUCUAACUCUU